GGAGAUGUAGCUCAGUGGUAGAGCACAUCCUUAGCACGUAGGAGGUCCUGGGUCCAAUUCCCAUCACUCCU
rnacentral:tRNA from 1 species